rnacentral:rRNA from 1 species
UACAGAGGGGGCAAGCGUUGUUCGGAAUUACUGGGCGUAAAGGGCGCGUAGGCGGCCUGCUAAGUCGAACGUGAAAUCCCUGGGCUCAACCCAGGAACUGCGUCCGAUACUGGUUGGCUUGAAUCCGGGAGAGGGACGUGGAAUUCCAGGUGUAGCGGUGAAAUGCGUAGAUAUCAGGAGGAACACCGGUGGCGAAGGCGGGUCUCUGGGCAACAACUGACGCUGAGGAGCGAAAGCGUGGGGAGCGAACAGG